rnacentral:tRNA from 1 species
UCUCAGAUAGCUAAAAUGGAAAAGCCUUUAGUGCGUAACCAAAAGAUCCGAGUUCGAUUCCCGGUCCGAGCU